GACGAACGCUGGAGGCGUGCUUAACACAUGCAAGUCGAGCGAUGAAAUGGAGCUUGCUCCAUGGAUUAGUGGCGAACGGGUGAGUAACACGUGAAUAACCUGCCCUUAAUUUUGGAAUAACCCAGGGAAACCUGGGCUAAUACCGGAUAAGUAAACCUGUGGCAUCACAUGGUUUUGGAAAGUUUUUCGAUUAAGGAUGGAUUCGCGGCCUAUCAGCUUGUUGGUGAGGUAAUGGCUCACCAAGGCGACGACGGGUAGCCGGCCUGAGAGGGGGAACGGCCACACUGGGACUGAGACACGGCCAGACUCCUACGGGAGGCAGCAGUGGGGAAUAUUGCGCAAUGGACGAAAGUCUGACGCAGCGACGCCUCGUGAGGGACGAAGGUCUUCGGAUUGUAAACCUCUUUCAGCAGGGACGAAGCGAAAGUGACGGUACCUGCAGAAGAAGCACCGGCUAACUAUGUGCCAGCCGCCGCCGUAA
rnacentral:rRNA from 1 species